AGCCUGGCCAACAGAAAGGAGGCCAAGAUCCCUAGCAAAGGCUGGGGAUGAUGACUAGAAUAAGCAAACCUAACAAAGUUAAUGCAGGUGUCCUUGAACCAUGUUUGGAAAAAGCAGAACAGCCCAGGGUUGAGAAGGGGAGGACUUGUUUGCUGCACUUGAAUACAAUGCCCUGUGAUGUAGAUUCAUCUCCUGCAACUGUGUGAGCCCAUGAAGUGAGGGCAGGUCACCAAGGGCUCCUGCUCAGGACAGCCCCAGGAAGAAGGCAGCCCACAGGUCAGACU